AGUUGCUUUAUGACGCCGGGCGCGUGCGCAUUUAAAACAAUUCUCGAAAGAAAUGUUCACAAAUUAGUUUAAAUUCGAAAACGUUUCGGUAUGGACGCAAGAAAAAGGAAUUCUAAGAAAUAGAAAUUCUAAGCGAAACAACAACGAAAAAGGAAAAUAAUUUAAAUAGGGAUAAUAAUAUACAAAAACAUAACAACAAAAACACAACGGUAUUAAGGAAUCUGUUUCAGAAUUUCAGUGAGUUAAAUCUGUUAAAAAGUUCUGCGGUUAAUUUGUUUGUUUCUUUAACAAAAAACGUAAUCUAAUAUUUUAAUUAUUAUCAUCAGCUCAGCAGCAGUGUAGAAUAUAUUGGCCUAAAAUACUAGAUAUUUUAUGUUAAUAUAUUAAAUUCGAGUGACUUACGUCACCCAAGAUUUUGUACAUUUUCAAGCGGUAAGUGUUAAGUCAGCGCGUUCGUAUUUAUGGGACAUUGGAGAUUUGUACAUGGAUGCUAGUGGGGGAACGGCUAUUAAAAUUUCGCUGACUGGUUGGGUGUCAAGUUCGCAAGACUGAAGUUUCGAUGACUAAGGGUAUCCUCCUACUGCUUCCGGUGUUUGUGCUGAAGUUGCAAUCUUACGCCUUGGCUGGUGCAUCACAAGAUCUGUGUCACAGAUCAGAGAGCCUUAGGUGGACCAGGGGCGGU
rnacentral:lncRNA from 1 species